rnacentral:pre_miRNA from 1 species
GAUAUACUCCCUCCGUUCCAUAAUUCUUGUCGAAAUAUUACAUGUAUCUAGACGCUUCUUAGGAAUAGAUACACUAUUUUUAGACAAUUUGAGACAAGAAUUAUGGAACGGGGAGAGUAAAAU